UACGGAGGGUGCAAGCGUUGUUCGGAAUUACUGGGCGUAAAGAGCGUGUAGGCGGCUUGGAAGGUCAGCUGUGAAAACUCGAGGCUCAACCUCGAGACGUCGGUUGAAACCACCUGGCUAGAGUCCGGAAGAGGAGAGUGGAAUUCCCGGUGUAGCGGUGAAAUGCGCAGAUAUCGGGAAGAACACCCGUGGCGAAGGCGGCUCUCUGGGACGGUACUGACGCUGAGACGCGAAAGCGUGGGGAGCGAACAGG
rnacentral:rRNA from 1 species